GAUGAACGCUGGCGGCGUGCCUAAUACAUGCAAGUCGAGCGAACAGACGAGGAGCUUGCUCCUCUGACGUUAGCGGCGGACGGGUGAGUAACACGUGGAUAACCUACCUAUAAGACUGGGAUAACUUCGGGAAACCGGAGCUAAUACCGGAUAAUAUAUUGAACCGCAUGGUUCAAUAGUGAAAGACGGUUUUGCUGUCACUUAUAGAUGGAUCCGCGCCGCAUUAGCUAGUUGGUAAGGUAACGGCUUACCAAGGCAACGAUGCGUAGCCGACCUGAGAGGGUGGUCGGCCACACUGGAACUGAGACACGGUCCAGACUCCUACGGGAGGCAGCAGUAGGGAAUCUUCCGCAAUGGGCGGAAGCCUGACGGAGCAACGCCGCGUGAGUGAUGAAGGUCUUCGGAUCGUAAAACUCUGUUAUUAGGGAAGAACAAAUGUGUAAGUAACUAUGCACGUCUUGACGGUACCUAAUCAGAAAGCCACGGCUAACUACGUG
rnacentral:rRNA from 1 species